AUCCAGCUGAUGAGUCCCAAAUAGGACGAAACACGAGUCUUGGAU
rnacentral:hammerhead_ribozyme from 1 species